GACGAACGCUGGCGGCGUGCUUAACACAUGCAAGUCGAACGGGGCAUUCUCUUCGGGGGGUGUCUAGUGGCGAACGGGUGAGUAACACGUGGGCAACCUGCCCCUCGGCUCUGGGAUAACUCCAAGAAAUUGGGGCGUAAUACCGGAUAUGACCGCUGAUCGCAUGGUCUGGUGGUGGAAAGAUUUAUCGGCUGGGGAGUGGGCCCGCGGCCUAUCAGCUUGUUGGUGGGGUAGUGGCCUACCAAGGCGACGACGGGUAGCCGGCCUGAGAGGGUGACCGGCCACACUGGGACUGAGACACGGCCCAGACUCCUACGGGAGGCAGCAGUGGGGAAUAUUGCGCAAUGGGCGAAAGCCUGACGCAGCGACGCCGCGU
rnacentral:rRNA from 1 species